CCUACGGGAGGCAGCAGUGGGGAAUAUUGCACAAUGGGGGAAACCCUGAUGCAGCGACGCCGCGUGAGUGAAGAAGUAAUUCGUUAUGUAAAGCUCUAUCAGCAGGGAAGAAAAUGACGGUACCUGAGUAAGAAGCCCCGGCUAACUACGGGCCAGAAGCCGCGGUAAUACGUAGGGGGCAAGCGUUAUCCGGAUUUACUGGGUGUAAAGGGAGCGUAGACGGCAGUGCAAGUAUGGUGGGAAAGGCGGGGGCUCAACCCCCGGACUGCUCUGGAAACUGUACGGCUGGAGUGCGGGAGAGGUAAGUGGAAGUCCUAGUGUAGCGGUGAAAUGCGUAGAGAUGAGGGGGAACACCGAUGGCGAAGGCGGCUUACUGGACUGUAACUGACGUUGAGGCUCGAAAGCGUGGGGAGCAAACAGGAUUAGAUACCCUUGUAGUC
rnacentral:rRNA from 1 species